rnacentral:tRNA from 1 species
GCCCUCGUGGUGCAGUGGUUAAGUGCUUGGCUACUAACCAAAAGGUUGGUGGUUCGAACCCACCCAGCUGCU